UACGUAGGGACCAAGCGUUGUUCGGAAUUACUGGGCGUAAAGCGUGCGUAGUCGGUUAUCUAAGUCGGGUGUGAAAUCCCCGGGCUCAACCUGGGAAUUGCAUUCGAUACUGGAUAGCUAGAGUUCGGCAGAGGGAAGCGGAAUUUCGGGUGUAGCGGUGAAAUGCGUAGAUAUCCGAAGGAACAUCAGUGGCGAAAGCGGCUUCCUGGACCAGAACUGACGAUCAGGCACGAAAGCGUGGGGAGCAAACAGG
rnacentral:rRNA from 1 species